ACAAGGGGUGCAAGCCCAGGAAGAAUUGUCCAAACAGAGCAGGAAGGGUGUAAUGGAUCGGGGAGGUGCGAAUAGAAAGUAUUUAGGCCUCAAGCCCAAACGCAAGCAUCCAGGUCACCGGAUCCAGUUCACCACGCAUGAAGCCUUAACACCACAAUUUCAAAAUCCAAGAUCAAUCACACGAAUUUGAAUUCAUCUUCAUCUUCACCGGCAGUUCGAACGAAAUCCAUGAAGAAAUUCAACUCUGAAUCCAAGGUGGAGCUUCGCUAACCCAAAUCAUUGAAUUCAUCAUUCGUCUUCACCAAAUUAGAAUUGAUCCACUGAAAUCGAGUUGCAUGCGGAAUGGUAGAAGCAAGAAUAAAAAGAGUACUUACCUAAUAGAAAUGAAAGGAUGCUCCGAUGCGAUGAUUCUCCGACGGAAAUAGGUUGUUGCAAUACAGAUUUUGCUUAGAAUUUGGCAGGAAUUCAAGGCAUUAAAGUGGUGCUAUCAUGACAUUCAAGAGUGAUGGCUAGCUAGCACAUGAAGGAAGCUUGGAAUGUGAAGUCAAGUAUUUGGAAGAAUGAAGGACCAAGGUGAAACUAGGCAUUAGGUUCAGAAGUCAAGUUAGUUGACUUUGAUCAAGGUUGACAAAAAAGUCAACCAUUGACCAAAGUCAACAUUUAGUCAAAGUUGCUAUUUUUUGUAAUAAUCUUUGUAUGAAUGUUGUAAAUUGUAAUAUAUGAAUGAAAUGUACUCUUUUAUCUCAA